GACGAACGCUGGCGGCGUGCUUAACACAUGCAAGUCGAACGGAAAGGCCCUGCUUUUGUGGGGUGCUCGAGUGGCGAACGGGUGAGUAACACGUGAGUAACCUGCCCUUGACUUUGGGAUAACUUCAGGAAACUGGGGCUAAUACCGGAUAGGAGCUCCUGCUGCAUGGUGGGGGUUGGAAAGUUUCGGCGGUUGGGGAUGGACUCGCGGCUUAUCAGCUUGUUGGUGGGGUAGUGGCUUACCUAGGCUUUGACGGGUAGCCGGCCUGAGAGGGUGACCGGCCACAUUGGGACUGAGAUACGGCCCAGACUCCUACGGGAGGCAGCAGUGGGGAAUAUUGCACAAUGGGCGGAAGCCUGAUGCAGCAACGCCGCGUGCGGGAUGACGGCCUUCGGGUUGUAAACCGCUUUCGCCUGUGACGAAGCGUGAGUGACGGUAAUGGGUAAAGAAGCACCGGCUAACUACGUG
rnacentral:rRNA from 1 species